CAAUUGCUGAAGUAGUGAUAAGUAUGAUGGU
rnacentral:piRNA from 1 species